AAUAAUUGUUUAAACAUCUAUAAAUAAAAUUGUUAAUUUUAUUCAAAAGUUUAAAAGAGUUA
rnacentral:tRNA from 1 species